rnacentral:lncRNA from 1 species
UUUCUCAUCCUCGCCCGGUGCAUGCCCUUCCACGACUGCUGGCGAGAGGUGAGGUUCUAGCCAGCGGAUCGACGAUGGCUUCCUUGCUCUAGCCCCAGCAGCUCCUAAGUCGACUGCCGCAUCCCCGGAGAUCGGCGCCCCAGACCGCCGCGGCCCCAGCGCCUGGUGAGUUCCCAUCUGGUUCUUCCCUCCAUUCUCUUCCUAUUAGCAAGAUCUUGUCAGGUCACGCCCAGGUAGCCUCCCUGUUCAAGACCUCACUUCAGAGUUUAAGGUAGUUGACAUUAAGAGGUUCAAUGAUUUGUUUCUGUCGUCUUGAUGUUGAUCCUAAAAAAUUGGUUAAUUAAAGGAUUCAUGGAACUCUUCAAUCGAUAAAAAAAUUCCUGUACAAUUUCCCACCAAAAUUUUUUAGGCAAUUAGUGAUUGGAGGGCGCUGAUAUCAGUUACUGAAAGAUGUGGUUACCUUUGCAUGCUUAAUUCCCUGUGUUUGGUGUGUUUUUUGUAACAAGGAUCAAUAACCUGACAAGGAUCAAUUGCCUACUGAAUAUUUGAAAAUUGAGUAUAAGACAAUUAUGUUACUUGAUGCAUAUUUCAACUAGGCUUCAUCGCUGGAAAUUAUAUCUUAGCAGUCGAACAGGUAAAUGAGGCCUGAUAAUAGUUACCAUCAGCACUACUCCUGAAUCAUGAUGUGUAAAUGGGAAUCAAUAUCACUUCAUUGCUUUGGAUAAAUAAGAAUUUUGGUAUGGCUAUAGUUUCGUAUUAUUCUACCUUCUGCUUCUAGAUAUUACAUCUUAGAGAAAUUCAAUAUUUACAAAAUAUUGGUUUCUUGCUUUGCAGCAGAGUUAGUAUCCAGUUUUCACUUCACAUGGGUUAGUAUCAUAUAACAUUCUGGAUUGCAGAUUGCUUUAAAUAUGAUACAUAACAAGUGGCAAUAAUUUAUUAAAUGGUAGUCUUCAGUAGGAAAAAAAAAUAAAAAGGGCACAAAAUGCUAAUAUGGUUGUUGUCAAUUUUUUUUAUCCUGCAAAUUAGUGAGUACUCAAGUUCCAAGAUAAUGAGUUACUAUAUAGUGCUUGCCUGUGCCACUACUGCAAGUCUGCAACUAUAUGGCAUUAUUAGGCAUUUGGAUAUCUGUGUUAUCUCUGCCAGUACUGCCAACAUCUUCCUUACUUUUUUGUUACCUAAGGGACCAACCUUGCUUGGGGGAUACACCGUCUGAAUCCAUGCACCAAUCGUCAAGUGUUGGCAUGCAACCAUCUCAUAACAAAGCAUAAACUAAAGCAUGGUCUGCCCACAACCAAGUACUCAAGUAUAUGAAAUAAUGGUCAUUCCUGAAUAUUUUCAAGUUCAUAAUUUUAUUGUUAAGUGAUCAUAUCUGCUUGUAGAAUUUAACUUCUACUUACAAAUACAAAUUUCUUGAAAUAAUAAAACAUAGACUUCAUUUUUUUUCUACUCUGGAUCAUCUUGAGUGGUAGAACAUUUUUUCUGCUUCGUAAGGUAAGAUCAUAAGAGAAGCUGCUCUCUAUGUGAUCGAAACAUAUCAAAUACUUAUGCAGAUCACUCUUCAGGAAUACAGGCUUGUGCAGGUGCGUAUUUUUUUGCAAGCUAUUUCUGUAAGUUCUGGAGGAGAGGGUCUAUUCUAUUAGUUGCUGGUUCAUUACUAUUCGUUGACAUAUAGUAUAUAUUGCAUUGCCAUUGUUGCUAUGAAUUUCACAGACAAAAUGUAAUUCAUGAAAAAUUAGCUUCUAUUCAUGGAAUCUAUGAAACAAACAAUGUUUUUUCAUACGACUUAGUUUAUACCACUGGAGGACCUCCUGUUUUCAUAAGUGCUACUAAUAAAUAAUGAUUUACAGGAAUACACAAAGAAACCCUUUUCUUGUUUAUUUAGCUUACACUCUAUUUCCCGGAUAAUAUUUGCAUGUCUAAAUUGGUAUUGAUCACUUUGUUCAUGUAUGUUAUCUGUGAUUCAUUGGUCCGUGUUAAUGGACUCUGUAAAAUCAUAGUUUUGUUGUAUGAUCAGACAUUUAAUUUCUUAUAGGCUGCAGUGUCCACUCAUGAUUUACAUUGAUUUGUUGGUUUUUCAACCCAGCUCGGUAGUGGCCAGUUUGGUCUGGUUACUCAAAAUCCUUCUUUCUCGAUUAUAGAUGCCACAUAUGUGUUUUUUAGUUCCUUUUUAAUUGCAACAGCCGACAUACCUUGCUUACAGGUACUUCUAUAUGUCAGCUUUGGAGCUGUGUCCUGGUCCUUGGAAUUGCCAUCGACCAGAUCGGAGAGGGGGAGCAACAACGACAGAGGUAAGGAAAAGGAAGGAAUAUGUUGUAGCUCUGUUUGCCUGCAGUGCUCACUACUACUGUUGAAGUCUAGCAACAACAACUAUGAACUCUAAAUGAAAAUUUUCAGCUUAUUUUAUUUCGGGAAGCCUGAUUGGUCACUAGAGCCAAGUCAAAUUUCUAACUGAACUAGAUUUUUGAGUUAGAUUUCAUUUUUUAGCUCUUUUGCAUAUGAACAAAACAAUAUUUGGAGCUGAAAGCUAUCAUUUUGCCAGGCAAUUUUAUUCCAUGCUUUGAGCUUCAAAAUGAUUUGAUGAAAUGACCAGUCAUAUACAUAUGUUUUGAGUAGGUCCUGAACAUAGUAUACUAUGAUGUUUAAGUAGCUCCAAAAUUUACUGAUUUGCUUCAGCCUAUAGGUAUGUAGGUCUUCAGUCUUGGCAUGCAGCUAUGCAUCAGUAUCUCCCAUCCACAUUGCUCCUUCUCCGUAUUAUUUUGUUUAGAAAAUAUUUUAUAUAUACAGAGAAGGUGGUGAGGCAAUGCCAAGUGGUAUGCAAGAUUCGGAGAUUUCACAUUUUUAUUUUUUCUAAAAGAAUUGCUAUUUCAACUAGAUUGACUAUGCUUUUAGUGUACUUGCACAUUCUGCUUUACUCAAGUACAUUUUUACUACAACAUGUGAAAUAAUCAUGUUGAGUUGUUCAUAUUACAAAAGCAGUUCUCUUAAAUUCAGCUUAGGUUUGCAUUGUUAUCUCAGUCUCUAUCUCUUGGAUUCACUUUUGUAGCCAAUUGUGAAUAAUUAUUUUACAUUCAGAAAAGUGAUUCUACAGUUUUACAUGUACUAGCUAGAUUAGGUAUGUAUUUAGGAAAACCCUCCUUUAUUCAUGCUCUUAUUUCAUAGAUAUAGACUACUGAGUGUAGUAUGCAAUCUGUUUUUUUUAUCUGCACCCAACUCACUGCAUGCAUCCAACACUGCAGUUAGUGAGUCCACCUGGAUGCAACUUUUGCAACUUAUCAGCCAAACGAACAAGACGAGUGAAUAUUCUUAUCUAUAAGGUCUUUUUUGUGUCAGCAAAUUGCAAGCAUCAAGCCUGUCAAGAAAACUACGACAGUCAAAAUAUUUAUUGCACGAGCAAAUAAAAUGGCCUUAUUAUGACUUGGCUUGUAACUAAUUAUCUAUUAGCAGGUUUUAGCAAAUAUCAAUGUGAGCUUAGAGUAAGAGAGAUCUUGAUUUGAUGGGCCCCAGGAGGGAUGUAAACCGCUGCUAGCAAGACCACAACUGCCACACAACUCCGGGAGAAAGGGAGGGCGGCCAUAGCAUAUGGCUUCUGGAGGAGGGCGACAUCUGUAGUUUGAGAAGCCAAGCUCCCUAUGUUUGUGAUUGCAAGAUGAAAGCAAAAACUUGGGUGGAAGCAUGGCAAGCAACAUGCAUGCUACAGAUUUGCAAAGCUGCUUUUUUUCUUGCUUGCUUAAAAAAUGGCAAAAUAUAUAAGUAGCUUUUGAAAAUAGUUAUGAGAUUACAUCAGUGAUUUAUAUUUUACAAUUAGAGUCAUCACUUGAUCUCUUGAAAUACUAGAAAAUAUAGAUUUUUAAAUCCGUAGCAACGCAUGAACCUAGUCUAAAAUAUAAACAAAAAAGAGUUUAGUGGUUCCUAGUUGUAGAUGGG